ACAAUCCGGCUGUGUGCGUGAAGGCGACCGAUAUGUUUUGAGCCAACACCAGAACAUAGGGAACCUGAUCCUCAGUUAAUGGCCGUCCUGCCCCGUCUUGAGGGGACUGCGAAAGUUAACGGGAGGUACCCACCUGCUUAAGAGCAGGUUCAAAACGUCGGUGUUGCACGGCAUGGCGGGAAAUGA
rnacentral:other from 1 species